CUAACACAUGCAAGUCGAACGAAGCACUGUGGAUAGAGACUUCGGUCAAUUGAAGCUUUGACUUAGUGGCGGACGGGUGAGUAACGCGUGAGGAACCUGCCUUUCAGAGGGGGACAACAGUUGGAAACGACUGCUAAUACCGCAUGACACAGCGAGAUCGCAUGGUCUUGCUGUCAAAGAUUUAUCGCUGAAAGAUGGCCUCGCGUCUGAUUAGAUAGUUGGUGAGGUAACGGCCCACCAAGUCGACGAUCAGUAGCCGGACUGAGAGGUUGAACGGCCACAUUGGGACUGAGAUACGGCCCAGACUCCUACGGGAGGCAGCAGUGGGGAAUAUUGGGCAAUGGGGGAAACCCUGACCCAGCAACGCCGCGUGAAGGAAGAAGGCUUUCGGGUUGUAAACUUCUUUUACCAGGGACGAAGAACGUGACGGUACCUGGAGAAAAAGCCACGGCUAACUACGUGCCAGCAGCCGCGGUAAUACGUAGGUGGCAAGCGUUGUCCGGAUUUACUGGGUGUAAAGGGCGUGUAGGCGGGAGAGCAAGUCAGAAGUGAAAUCUAUGGGCUUAACCCAUAAACUGCUUUUGAAACUGUUCUUCUUGAGUAUCGGAGAGGCAGGCGGAAUUCCUAGUGUAGCGGUGAAAUGCGUAGAUAUUAGGAGGAACACCAGUGGCGAAGGCGGCCUGCUGGACGACAACUGACGCUGAGGCGCGAAAAGCGUGGGGAGCAAACAGGAUUAGAUACCCUGGUAGUCCACGCUGUAAACGAUGAAUACUAGGUGUGGGGGGACUGACCCCUUCCGUGCCGCAGUUAACACAAUAAGUAUUCCACCUGGGGAGUACGAUCGCAAGAUUGAAACUCAAAGGAAUUGACGGGGGCCCGCACAAGCAGUGGAUUAUGUGGUUUAAUUCGACGCAACGCGAAGAACCUUACCGGGAUUUGACAUCCUACUAACGAAGUAGAGAUACAUUAGGUGCCCUUCGGGGAAAGUAGAGACAGGUGGUGCAUGGUUGUCGUCAGCUCGUGUCGUGAGAUGUUGGGUUAAGUCCCGCAACGAGCGCAACCCUUAUGGUCAGUUACUACGCAAGAGGACUCUGGCCAGACUGCCGUUGACAAAACGGAGGAAGGUGGGGAUGACGUCAAAUCAUCAUGCCCUUUAUGACUUGGGCUACACACGUACUACAAUGGCGUUAAACAAAGAGAAGCAAGACCGCGAGGUGGAGCAAAACUCAGAAACAACGUCCCAGUUCGGACUGCAGGCUGCAACUCGCCUGCACGAAGUCGGAAUUGCUAGUAAUCGUGGAUCAGCAUGCCACGGUGAAUACGUUCCCGGGCCUUGUACACACCGCCCGUCACACCAUGAGAGCCGGGGGGACCCGAAGUCGGUAGUCUAACCGCAAGGAGGACGCCGCCGAAGGUAAAACUGGUGAUUGGGGUGAAA
rnacentral:rRNA from 1 species